UUACAUGUACUUACGUCGUUUUGGGGAAAGUUUUAUUGCAUUUAUAUAGUUGUUUUGAAAACAAACAGGUUCUCUUUGUUUAUUUUGCGGCUCUUGUUUUUAUUUCCAGAAUUUUAUGUGUUGAUUUAUAGUUUUGCACUGCUUGAAGGUUGGACUGAUCACACACGAUUUAUGUGUACUGUACAUUGUUAUGUAGGUUUAACCAAUGUGAUGCCUUCCUUUUUUCACAUCCCAAAUUGAUGUUGUUCCUCAACAAAAAGUGAAAGUAUUCAUUUGAACUGCUUUCAUGUGAUAUUGAUCAAGAGUUGUUUACCAUUUUUCUAAUGCAUCUUGUUCACCAAGUUUGAAAUAAAAGGAUGAGAAUACCAAUAGAAUAUGUAUGUGUGAGAUAAAAUAGAUGAUAUUAGC
rnacentral:misc_RNA from 1 species